AUUGAACGCUGGCGGCAGGCCUAACACAUGCAAGUCGAGCGGAUGAAGGGAGCUUGCUCCUGGAUUCAGCGGCGGACGGGUGAGUAAUGCCUAGGAAUCUGCCUGGUAGUGGGGGAUAACGUCCGGAAACGGGCGCUAAUACCGCAUACGUCCUGAGGGAGAAAGUGGGGGAUCUUCGGACCUCACGCUAUCAGAUGAGCCUAGGUCGGAUUAGCUAGUUGGUGGGGUAAAGGCCUACCAAGGCGACGAUCCGUAACUGGUUUGAGAGGAUGAUCAGUCACACUGGAACUGAGACACGGUCCAGACUCCUACGGGAGGCAGCAGUGGGGAAUAUUGGACAAUGGGCGAAAGCCUGAUCCAGCCGUGCCGCGUGUGUGAAGAAGGUCUUCGGAUUGUAAAGCACUUUAAGUUGGGAGGAAGGGCAGUAAGUUAAUACCUUGCUGUUUUGACGUUACCAACAGAAUAAGCACCGGCUAACUUCGUG
rnacentral:rRNA from 1 species